AGAUUUUUUGAUAGUCGUAAUUAAAUAUUUUGGAUAGAUUUAAUUUUUGAAUGAAACACUUCCUUCUCGUUCAUUGCAUUAUCUGUUGCACUUCAAAUGCACAUAUUUAUGUUUAUCUGUUGUAGGGUUGCCAUACAACAAGUAUUAUUCGAAAUUGUAGGUAUUUUGGCUGUCAUUCCAGGAAAACUUUGUAUAGUUUUGAUAUACUUUAAGUAUUGAUUUUUGGAAAAUAUAAUAUUUUAGAGACAUGAUAACAAAUGUUAUCAUAGGUUUUUUAAGGCUGUUCUGGAAUGAUAUUUGUUAGGUUUUGUUUACUUCAAGGUCUGAUACAGAAACUGGAGUAAUUUUCAUUUAAUGAAUUAGAGUAUUUUAUUGUUUAUUCGUUUGCCACCCGGCUUUUGUUUUGGGUCCUUUAAAUUCGAGAUCAUUCAGUGCGCCGUUCUUUCUGUGACGAGAUCCUCUUGUAUAGUGAUCGGACGGCCGUAUAAGGGCCUGGAGCCCGGCAUGCCACGUGCUGCCGUGGCGUUCCAUAUUUUGUGUGGUGCGUUCUGUCAGUCUGACUGGCAGAAACAUGCUAAGGGUGGGAGUGCUCCUUGGAGAUCCUCGGUCUGCAGUCUGCAGGUCUCCGGAGUCGGGAAGAAGUAAAGAAUUAGAGAAUUGCAGAAGUAGAAUUUAACAAGAACUUUUACAAUUUUGAUGUGCAAGGAAACUUUCUUUGGCGUUACUGGCGCAAGGUGCCUUUGGACCUUGUUUUCGUAUGGAAGGGUCAGCCCUGUCCACGUGGCGAGGGGGCGUCAGCACCGGAGUCCGGGGAGCAGCCGGCUCAUCCCUGACAAGGUGUGUCUCCUGCCCGUUCCCUGCCGGUAGUGCUGUGUAAUUCAGGUUUUAAUUUCUGUGUAAAGUAAUUUCUGAUUUCAUUUAUUUUGAGAAUUCUGGUGCAUAACUUUAGGUAAAUUCAUAUUUAGUUUUUGUAGAAUAAAUGGUUGUAAGAAACCUUUUCCUGGACCCUCUUAAAGCGGCCCAGCUUUACCACUGAGCGUAGUUCAUAUUUUAUAUGGUGUCGAAUUUAGUAUUUCGGGAAACAUUAAAUGAAACCUUUCUGUAGGCAAGAGUUUAUUUAUAAUUAAUAAAGUUAUAAAAUGUGA